UCCUCCUUAGCUCAGUGGUAGAGCGCGUCACUUGUAUAGUGCAGGCAUGACGAGGUCAGUCGUUCAAUCCGGCUAGGUGGAA